rnacentral:rRNA from 1 species
UACGUAGGGGGCAAGCGUUAUCCGGAUCUACUGGGUGUAAAGGGGGCGCAGACGGCGAUGCAAGCCAGGAGUGAAAGCCCGGGGCCCAACCCCGGGACUGCUCUUGGAACUGCGUGGCUGGAGUGCAGGAGGGGCAGGCGGAAUUCCUGGUGUAGCGGUGAAAUGCGUAGAUAUCAGGAGGAACACCGGUGGCGAAGGCGGCCUGCUGGACUGCAACUGACGUUGAGGCCCGAAAGCGUGGGGAGCAAACAGG